UACGAAGGGGGCUAGCGUUGCUCGGAAUCACUGGGCGUAAAGGGUGCGUAGGCGGGUCUUUAAGUCAGGGGUGAAAUCCUGGAGCUCAACUCCAGAACUGCAUUUGAUACUGAGGAUCUUGAGUUCGGGAGAGGUGAGUGGAACUGCGAGUGUAGAGGUGAAAUUCGUAGAUAUUCGCAAGAACACCGGUGGCGAAGGCGGCCAACUGGACAGAUACUGACGCUGAGACACGAAAGCGUGGGGAGCAAACAGG
rnacentral:rRNA from 1 species